ACCAACUUUUGUCGCUGCUUGCAAGUGACUGAGCUUCUCUUUUCACAGAGUGUUUCACUAUUCACCUUUCUUUGCUUUGCUUUGCUCUAUUUUCAAUUUCUUCUGGUAGUGACCAUUGAGAGGAGCACCUGUAUGUGACACUAGGAGUAGGAAUAAUCACACAGGUCAGGACACAUUUCCUGGAUAUAUGGUGUGGAACUGAGCCUUUCAUUUCACUGAUGGCCAACCUGCUUGGGUCUAACAGAUGCCAGAACAGCAAUGAUCUGAGCUCCUUCCAUAUGGAACUGUUUGACUUGUAUUUAUUGUUAUCUUUAUUUUGAAAAAUAUUGAUUUGUUGUCCUUUCUUUCAUCCUCUUUCAACUUGCUGCAGCUAUUUCAGUUCCACUGCACCUGAAAGAUGCAGAAGUACCAGUGCAGGAGGGAAAACCAGUACUGUGGUUACCUCCCUGUGGGAAAAUUUCCCCAGAUAAAGACAUUUAGUGUCCCAAACCAAGUCAUAUGAAUGUGGAGUGGAAAUUUUCUGAAGGCUUUCACUGGGAAGUUUUCUUCAAAAUCUCUGCCAGACCCCAGAGUACAAGAUGUUCCUGGACAUACUUGCUUUCUGUGAUGGUGUCUUCUCUGACUUGAGCAUGAUCAUAAACUGAGUCCCAGCAUCCCAGCUAACAUCUUACCAAGCACUUAUGUAUCUCCUUACGUGCCCCAGUGUGGAAUGCACCUUCUUCACAAAAGAAUGGUGCUGUGACUCCAAAUCUCCUCUUCUUCUAUCAUUAAAAACUGCAGGCACCUUUUCCAGUUCUAGGAUAAGUAAUGGAACCAAACUUCUUCAUAUGGUUUUAAUUUGAUUUUUUUUCCUCAGCAUUUUUCUUACUGAGAGUCAUGCAAGUUCUCUUCAGCUAAUUUGGGAUUAUGAAAAAUGAGCAGAGGUUCAAAGUAUGCUUAUAAUUACAAGGAAUAUAUUUUCUUUCCCAAAAUAUUGCCUAUGAUCAACUAACCUUGUUUCUGAAUUAUUCCUGCUAUAAAGA